CGUUCCUCUUUUACCCAAAUCAAAAGCAAACCCUAGCCGUUACCACCGUUACCACCAGUCACCGCUGCCACUACCACCACUACCACCCUUUAAUUAAAGACCAUCUUUCUCCCUGAGUCCUUGUUUGUUGGCCAGCUUUAGAAGUAGCUGUGGUAACCAUUUCAUCAGCUCGAUUGUUGGAGGCAAAGCGAACAGGAUCUGCAGCUAUGGUAGCCACUCCAAAUCUCAGCAUCUUUAGUAACCACCCAAACUAAGAAGGUACAACCACAAUAUGGCUAUGACUCCCCAAGAUGUUUCUUCACAACCAGUUAGAUCAGCUCAUGAUUCUACUAGAAAUAACAAGAGCGGUUUGGAGAUGAAGAGCUAGCUAGUGAAAAAGAGCGGUUAGAAGGUGAUACACAAGCACUGACCUAAACUUUGAAUCAAGAGAUUGGUCAAAGUGAUGAUAUAGAUGCCUUUAGAAAGAAAAAGAGAGCCAGAAAAUCGGCUGGAAGGAUUGAUUUCAAAGAUGUGGAAGUUGGGUCUAAAAAAACACUUUACUCGAAGUGUUUGCAUUGUAGAGCUAAAUUCAAGAAGACCAAAACCGGUACAACUUCAAGUUUGUUAAGGCAUCUUAAGAAUUAUCCUGAAUGAUUGGAGAAAGUUUAAAAAGAAGAGGCAAGCCAGCAAAAGAUUAAAUUUUGAGCCACAAAUUCUAGCUCAAUUGUUCAUUUCUAUCUUUAUACAGGUAAGUUUGAUAUGGCUGCCAUAAGAGAAAGUGUCGUUGAGUGGGUGCUUAUGCAUAAGCAUCCUUUUACAAUUGUGGAGGAAGAUAGUUUCGACUUAAUAAUGAAAUGAGGGAUGUCCCAAUGGCAAAAAAUCAGUCAGAAUGUUCAAUUGAGAUGUUUUAAUUCUUUCAAUCAAUGAAGGUUAAACUAUUAAUGUUGCCAAAUGUUCUCGGUGGAUUCUAAGUUCUUCCAUUUGUCUUGCUAACAUGGUCGAUAAAUUUUCCAAACUCUUUCUACUCAAAGCAUCUACUACAAUAUUAGCUUUCCUAGGAUGGUAAUUAGUUGUCAAGUCAUAAUCUUUGAGUAACUCCAACCACCUUCUUUGCCUCAUAUUUAACUCUUUUUGGGUGAACAGAUAUUUUAAACUCUUGUGAUCAGUAAAUAUCUCACACUGCUCCCGGUAAAGAUAAUGCCUCCAAAUGUUCAAUGCAAAGACAAUUGUUGUCAAUUUCAAGUCAUGUGUAGGAUAAUUUUAUUCAUAAGGUUUUAACUGUCUAGAAGCAUAAGCAAUCACCUUACCACUUUGCAUAAGUACGCACCCAAGACCAUUUCUAGAGGCAUCACUAUAAAUGGUGAAACCUCCUGAACUCGAUGGUAAGAUAGGUAUUGGUGCUAAUUGUAGACACCAAAUUUUUGGUGUAAUUUCAUUUACUGUUUAUUUUUAGUUUUUUAUUUGUCGUGCUAGUUUUAUUCGAUUUUUAGUUUUUAGUUUAUGGUUUUAUUUUUAUUUUUAAGUUAUUAGCAUAGAAUUUCUUGAAAUGAAAAAAGAGGAAAA